CCUACGGGAGGCAGCAGUAGGGACUUUUGCACAAUGGGGGAAACCCUGACGCAGCAACGCCGCGUGAUCGAUGAAGCCCUUCGGGGUGUAAAGAUCUGUCAGUGGGGACGAAACCUGACGGUACCCACAGAGGAAGCACCGGCUAACUCCGUGCCAGCAGCCGCGGUAAUACGUAGGGGGCAAGCGUUAUCCGGAUUUACUGGGUGUAAAGGGAGCGUAGACGGCAGCGCAAGUCUGAAGUGAAAUGCCGGGGCUUAACCCCGGAACUGCUUUGGAAACUGUGCAGCUAGAGUGCAGGAGAGGUAAGUGGAAGUCCUAGUGUAGCGGUGAAAUGCGUAGAUAUUAGGAGGAACACCAGUGGCGAAGGCGGCUUACUGGACUGUAACGGACGUUGAGGCUCGAAAGCGUGGGGAGCAAACAGGAUUAGAUACCCUUGUAGUC
rnacentral:rRNA from 1 species